GCGCUGCUGAGACCCGCGUGUGCGGAGGGAAGUGGGGAACUGCCCCUUUUCCAAGGGCCUGAACACAGCUUUUGACUACUGACUGUCCUGUUCUGCCUUCCUCUUCGCGUGGGCCACCGCCCCACAGCGCCGCUGGGUUCCCUUCGCGGCCGCAUGGUACGCGUCCCGGGAGCGAAGCUUCCCCUGGGGGGAGCGCGCUAACCUGAGCUCCUUCGGUGCACCGCCCUGCCGACUGUCUGGAAGUCAGCAAUGGGAUAUUCCCACCACAACUUUACCGGGAUCUCUGGGUUGACUCUCUGGGUUGAGGAUCGGGGAGCUGGGUCGGGAGGCUGGCUUGUGGCUGUGGUUGAGGGGCCCGGACGCCUCGAAAGCAGGAGGGUGCCCAGGCGAAGUGCAGGCUGCACCAUGCAAUCUUCCGGGCGCAGAGGCGACCCAACCCGACCUGAGGGAGAUCCACGGGCUCUGGGCCGAGGGGAGACGCAGUGGCUAAAAGGCCCUCCUCAUCUCAUCUGUAUUUAUCUAGGUCUGACCAUUCUUCUGUAUCGGAUUCCACCUACCAGAAGAAAAGAACUCACCGGUCUCCCCAACCAUUCCAGUGCCUGUGAAUCUCAUCUCCCUCUGACUUUGGAGCCCUUACUACCAAUUCAGCAACCCUGUUUUCCUCCAGUUAUUUUUGGGCCUAAUUCUUGUCUAUCCUGUGGGACAUGGACCACAUUUUAA
rnacentral:lncRNA from 1 species